UACAGAGGGGGCAAGCGUUGUUCGGAAUUACUGGGCGUAAAGGGCGCGUAGGCGGCCCGCUAAGUCGAACGUGAAAUCCCCGGGCUCAACCCGGGAACUGCGUCCGAUACUGGUGGGCUUGAAUCCGGGAGAGGGAUGCGGAAUUCCAGGUGUAGCGGUGAAAUGCGUAGAUAUCUGGAGGAACACCGGUGGCGAAGGCGGCAUCCGUGGACCGGCAUUGACGCUGAGGCGCGAAAGCCAGGGGAGCAAAGCGGGG
rnacentral:rRNA from 1 species